rfam:Candidatus Parvarchaeum acidophilus ARMAN-5 ARM5contig_4387, whole genome shotgun sequence.
AGCCCUGUAGUGUAGCGGCCAAGCACAAGGGCCUUUGGAGCCCUAGACACCGGUUCAAAUCCGGUCAGGGCUA